rnacentral:rRNA from 1 species
GUUUAUUAGAUCAUCCUUUUUACUUGGAUAACUGUGGAAAAACUAGAGCUAAUACAUGCCACAAGCUUCGACCUUACGGAAGGAGCGCAUUUAUUAGAACAAAACCAAUCGGACUUUGUCCGUCACUUGGUGAAUCUGAAUAACUAUGCAGAUCGCAUGGUCUUAGUACCGGCGACAUAUCUUUCAAAUGUCUGCCUUAUCAACUUUCGAUGGUAGUUUAUGCGCCUACCAUGGUUGUAACGGGUAACGAAGAAUCAGGGUUUGAUUUCGGAGAGGGAGCCUGAGAAACGGCUACCACAUCCAAGGAAGGCAGCAGGCACGCAAAUUACCCACUCCCGGCACGGGGAGGUAGUGACGAAACAUAACGAGGCGAUUCUCUACGAGACUCGCCAUCGGAAUGGGUACAAUCUAAAUCCUUUAACGAGGAUCUAUUGGAGGGCAAGUCUGGUGCCAGCAGCCGCGGUAAUUCCAGCUCCAAUAGCGUAUAUUAACGUUGUUGCGGUUAAAAAGCUCGUAGUUGGAUCUGCGACCUAGGAUAGUGGUCUGCCAAACGGUGUGUACUGCUUUUCCUGGUCUUGUUGUCCGGUUUUCCCUUGAUGCUCUUCAUUGAGUGUCCUGGGUGGCUGGAGAUUUUACUUUGAAAAAAUUAGAGUGCUCAAAGCAGGCGGUCUGCCUGAAUAAUGGUGCAUGGAAUAAUGGAAUAGGACCUCGGUUCUAUUUUGUUGGUUUUCGGAGCACGAGGUAAUGAU